GUACUAAUUUGUAAAAGGGUCUUUCCACAGAAAGAGGCUGAAUAUUCUCACUCUGUGAAUACUUUCACUCUGGAGAGACAGGAAUAACCUCCUUAGCAUUCACCACCGUGUGUCUCAAGUUGUUGGCAAUACUACAGUUCUUGGAUUCAUACAUAUUUUUAGGGCAUAUUUACUAAUGCUGCUUCAAGAGACACAAGCUCACUCUGCUCCUGUUCCAAAGGAAGCAAAGCCAGGAGACUGUGUAACUACCACGAAACCCAAUCAGCCCUGCUGCAAGGAUAUGUUCUCAUUCAGGAAGUCUGGUGUUAAUUACUUUGAAUCAAAGAGCCGGACAAGCAUAUCCUUCCAGUUUGGAAGAUAUACAUCUGGUGGGGUUAAGAAGAGAUUUUGCUAAUGUUCAGGUAACUUCUAUAUGGGAAAACAGUAUCACUCAUUCUUCUGUUUAGCAAAAGUUAUUGCUCAUGUGUGAGUCACAAAUAAAUGGAGAAU